GGAUCAUAGAAAACUAGCCCUCCAGCUAUGUUUGCCAAUAGAACCUCACCACUUUGCCUAAAUGCAACUAACCUUCGUAUCCCUGCCAAAUGUGAAAUAUUGAAAAGAUUGGUCCAAGAUCCUGGAACACCAUAUUCUUUCAUCUUCCAAACUGAAAAGCAGCCUUCCUCAGUCAAUUUCGUAAUAGCAACCAGCAAAAGUGAUCCAUCAGAAACUGCAACAUCAAUAAAGUGAUAUUUCUUAACCAAACAAUCUGGUACCUCCAUUU
rnacentral:misc_RNA from 1 species